rnacentral:rRNA from 1 species
UGGGGAAUAUUGCACAAUGGGGGAAACCCUGAUGCAGCGACGCCGCGUGAGCGAACAAGGUUUUCGAAUCGUAAAGCUCUGUCCUAUGGGAAGAUAAUGACGGUACCAUAGGAGGAAGCCCCGGCUAACUACGUGCCAGCAGCCGCGGUAAUACGUAGGGGGCAAGCGUUGUCCGGAAUCACUGGGCGUAAAGGGUUCGCAGGCGGAAAUGCAAGUCAGUUGUGAAAGGCAGAGGCUCAACCUCUGUAAGCAAUUGAAACUGUAUUUCUUGAGAUGUGGAGAGGCAAGUGGAAUUCCUAGUGUAGCGGUGAAAUGCGUAGAUAUUAGGAAGAAUACCGGUGGCGAAGGCGACUUGCUGGACACAAACUGACGCUGAGGAACGAAAGCGUGGGUAGCAAACAGG